CUAAUCGAUCAACCACUCCAUUGCCGAGUGGUUCCGAUACUAGAAAUCGACAAGACUCUCCUUCUAGUCGGUGUGACCCUGACUCUGUGCCGGGUCUGAGGAUGCCCUCCGUCGUCACCCCUUAUAACCUGUUACCCGCGUUCGGACUAGGUCGGUACGGCGCACUCACUACUUCCGGAAUCCCAACAUUUCGAGAAAAUGGUCCCUUCUAUUACUGCCAUGGACCUCUUAUUCGGGGCCGAUUGAAGCACGGUCGUCGGCGCCAUUAUGCUUCCCCCGAUCGCAACGAGCCUUAGUGACCCGCAUUUCGCGUGCAUCCACCCAGCAAUUCAGCCCCCACUUUAGGACCUCGAGUUGAGGUCUUGACGGAAGCUAUGACCGCUAGAACCUCAGGCCCUCUCCACUCACCUUGACGCUCACAUCUCCACUUUAAGCAUCUAUAAGCGUUCUUGUGGUCACCGCUUCCGCCGAGUGACCGGGCCAUGACUGUGACUCCACGCUUUCGCACCCCUCGUUUGUCCUAAUCUAUGGGACCAUCAGGUGCGGCAUUUGCUACCUUCGAUCGGCAACCUCUCGAACGAGAAGUCACCGCGUCGAUUGCGUAAUUCGAGGGCG
rnacentral:rRNA from 1 species